AGCUUUGCGAAAUGGCAGUAUCAUAGCCAAUGAGGUUUAUCCGAGGUGUGAUUGCUAAUUGAAAACUUUUCCCAAUACCCUGCUGUGACGACUUUCAAUAUAGUUGGUAUUGGUGACUUCUGACAGUCUCUAUGGAGA
ensembl:snRNA U4 U4 spliceosomal RNA